rnacentral:rRNA from 1 species
AACUUUCAGCAACGGAUCUCUUGGCUCUCGCAUCGAUGAAGAACGCAGCGAAAUGCGAUAAGUAAUGUGAAUUGCAGAAUUCAGUGAAUCAUCGAAUCUUUGAACGCACCUUGCGCCCUUUGGCUGUUCCGAAGGGCAUGCCUGUUUGAGUAUCAUG